rnacentral:rRNA from 1 species
CCCUUAGAUGUUCUGGGCUGCACGCGUGUUACAAUCGGGAGUACAACAAGAUUGCAAAUCCUAGUGGAUGAGUGGUUCUUCGAAAUUUUCUGAAGACUGGGAUAGUUGAUUGAAAUUAUUCAACUCAAACGAGGAAUUCCUUGUAAUUGUAAUUCAUUAUAUUGUAAUGAGUACGUCCCUGCCCUUUGUACACACCGCCCGUCGCUCCUACCGAUUGAACGAUCCGGUGAAUUAUUUGGAGUAGCUCUGGAAGUUGCAGAACUUCCUAUGUCACGAAAUUUUGUAAACCUUAUCGUUUAGAGGAAGGAAAAGUCGUAACA